rnacentral:rRNA from 1 species
AUUGAACGCUGGCGGCAGGCCUAACACAUGCAAGUCGAGCGGUAGAGAGGUGCUUGCAUCUCUUGAGAGCGGCGGACGGGUGAGUAAUGCCUAGGAAUCUGCCUAGUGGUGGGGGAUAACGUUCGGAAACGGACGCUAAUACCGCAUACGUCCUACGGGAGAAAGCGGGGGAUCUUCGGACCUCGCGCCAUUAGAUGAGCCUAGGUCGGAUUAGCUAGUUGGUGAGGUAAUGGCUCACCAAGGCGACGAUCCGUAACUGGUCUGAGAGGAUGAUCAGUCACACUGGAACUGAGACACGGUCCAGACUCCUACGGGAGGCAGCAGUGGGGAAUAUUGGACAAUGGGCGAAAGCCUGAUCCAGCCAUGCCGCGUGUGUGAAGAAGGUCUU